CUUCGUGGACGCUAGAACCGAAGCAAAUCACUCUAGUCAUGGCUUCAAGAAAAGAAAAAUUAUUCUCUUCUAAGCUCUGCUUUUUCUCAUUAGAGAAAUGAUGUACUUAAUGUUUUUUAUUGUUUAUUAUUUUUGAGACAGAAAGAGAGAGAGAGAGACUGAGAGUAAGCAGGGAAGGGGCAGAGAGAGAGAGGGAGACACAGAAUCGGAAGCAGGCUCCAGGCUCUGAGCGCUCAGGACAGAGCCCAAGGUGGGGCUCAAACUCACAGACAGCGAGAUCAUGACCUGAGCUGGAGUCAGCCGCCCAACCGACUGAGCCAUCCAGGCACCCCUGAUGUAUUUAAUUUUAAAGUGUGUUUCCUGUGGCAAAGAUCCUGGAAUUAAAGAGUGACGUUUACUCUCUCAUCCACACCAGAGUUCCUCAAAUAUCCAGCUCUCCUAUCUCUCAUUGGUCUCUUCUCCUCCCACUGGUUCAUUCUCCACCCUCUCCACUCUCCACCCUCCGGGCACUGGCCUCUAGAGACAGCACAGGCUGAGCUCCUCAGUGUGCCCCUGGUUAGAUUUGGUCAACAGGAAGCCCCAGUUAAGACAUCAAAGAGCAGAGGAAUGAGAGGUCAGGUAGAUGUUCUCCCUGCUGAACCUACUGGGUCACGGUUUGGCAAUGGCUCUGUUCCUCCAUCUAGAGAGUCAUAGCUCCUCUACGAUGCCUUAACUCUUAUGUUGAAAUAACACAUUCCAUCUUCUUGUAUCUUCAGGCCUAAAGGUAAUAGUAGCUUCUGCUUUUUAUUUCCCAGUGCUUCAGUAUCAUCUGUUGGUUCACUUAAACCUGCCUUUAGUCCCUGCAUUAUAUUAUUUUUAAUUACUCCUUUG